rnacentral:misc_RNA from 1 species
GAUGAAGAACGCAGCGAAAUGCGAUAAGUAAUGUGAAUUGCAGAAUUCAGUGAAUCAUCGAAUCUUUGAACGCACAUUGCGCCCGUCAGUAUUCUGGCGGGCAUGCCUGUUCGAGCGUCAUUACGCACCUCAAGUCCCCUGUGGACUUGGUGUUGGGGAUCGGCGAGGCUGGUUUUCCAGCACAGCCGUCCCUUAAAUUAAUUGGCGGUCUCGCCGUGGCCCUCCUCUGCGCAGUAGUAAAACACUCGCAACAGGAGCCCGGCGCGGUCCACUGCCGUAAAACCCCCCAACUUUUUAUAGUUGACCUCGAAUCAGGUAGGACUACCCGCUGAACUUAAGCAUAUCAAUAAGCGGAGGA